GGGCGUUUAGCUCAGCUGGCUAGAGUGCCACGUUGACAUCGUGGUGGUCAGUGGUUCGAGUCCACUAACGCCCACCA
rnacentral:tRNA from 1 species